GCUGGAGGGUGCUGGGGAAGUUCAGGCUGUCCCCAGAAGUCAACUUAUACGACCUUCAUGCUGGACUACACAUGUCAUCUCCCGGAGCAGCAGGCGGUGGCUGGGACGGCAGCACAGAGAAAGCCCGGCACAGGCUCCGCUCAGAGCCUCAGGAUGUGGGGAGGCUUCUACAGAUGACCAGCUUGGUGGCGUCAUCAUCCCCACCUGGAGGAAGGAGACCUUAUCUGGAACCAAGAGGCAUGUCUGUAAGAAACUCUUAUGAAGUUGUCGGGGUUCAAGUUGGCCUUCCUGUUGUUCAACCUGGUGGAGAAUGUUCCUGUGGGCCUUGGCAGCAAGUCAGCAUUCUUCGUUGGCAUGGAGUCCUAGGAAAAAGAGGCUCUCCACCCUGAAGCCAGUCGCAUAUCACCCCAAUAAACAGUUACAACGCCUCUGCCAACACAGGAUCCCAAA
rnacentral:lncRNA from 1 species